rnacentral:misc_RNA from 1 species
GAUGAAGAACGUAGCGAAAUGCGAUAAGUAAUGUGAAUUGCAGAAUUCCGUGAAUCAUCGAAUCUUUGAACGCACAUUGCGCCCCCUGGUAUUCCGGGGGGCAUGCCUGUCCGAGCGUCAUUUCUGCCCUCAAGCACGGCUUGUGUGUUGGGUGUGGUCCCCCCGGGGACCUGCCCGAAAGGCAGCGGCGACGUCCGUCUGGUCCUCGAGCGUAUGGGGCUCUGUCACUCGCUCGGGAAGGACCUGCGGGGGUUGGUCACCACUAUAUUUUACCACGGUUGACCUCGGAUCAGGUAGGAGUUACCCGCUGAACUUAAGCAUAUCAAUAAGCGGAGGA